rnacentral:rRNA from 1 species
CGCUUUCACUCCUACGGGAGGCAGCAGUGAGGAAUAUUGGUCAAUGGAGGGAACUCUGAACCAGCCAUCCCGCGUGUAGGAAGACGGCCUUAUGGGUUGUAAACUACUUUUAUACAGGAAGAAACGUACCCUCGUGAGGGUGCCUGACGGUACUGUAGGAAUAAGCACCGGCUAACUCCGUGCCAGCAGCCGCGGUAAUACGGAGGGUGCGAGCGUUAUCCGGAUUUAUUGGGUUUAAAGGGGUGCGUAGGCGGCUUUUAAGUCGGUGGUUAAAGGUAGCAGCUUAACUGUUUUACAUGCCAUCGAUACUGAAGAGCUUGAGUUAUCAGGAGGCAGGCGGAAUUUCUGGUGUAGCGGUGAAAUGCAUAGAUACCAGAAGGAACUCCUAUUGCGAAGGCAGCUUGCUGCAGAUAUACUGACGCUGAUGCACGAAAGCGUGGGGAGCGAACAGGAUUAGAUACCCUGGUAG